GCCAGACUCCUACGGGAGGCAGCAGUGGGGGAUAUUGCACAAUGGGGGGAACCCUGAUGCAGCGACGCCGCGUGGGUGAAGGAGCGUUUCGGCGCGUAAAGCCCUAUCGGCAGGGAAGAAGGAGGACGGUACCUGACUAAGAAGCCCCGGCUAACUACGUGCCAGCAGCCGCGGUAAUACGUAGGGGGCAAGCGUUAUCCGGAUUUACUGGGUGUAAAGGGGGCGCAGACGGCAGCGCAAGCCAGGAGUGAAAGCCCGGGGCCCAACCCCGGGACUGCUCUUGGAACUGCGCGGCUGGAGUGCAGGAGGGGCAGGCGGAAUUCCUGGUGUAGCGGUGAAAUGCGUAGAUAUCAGGAGGAACACCGGUGGCGAAGGCGGCCUGCUGGACUGCGACUGACGUUGAGGCCCGAAAGCGUGGGGAGCAAACAGGAUUAGAUACCCCUGUAGU
rnacentral:rRNA from 1 species